CCUACGGGAGGCAGCAGUGAGGAAUAUUGGUCAAUGGGCGGAAGCCUGAACCAGCCAAGUCGCGUGAGGGAUUAAGGCCCUGCGGGUCGUAAACCUCUUUUGCCGGGGAGCAGAGGUCCGGACGUGUCCGGGCCGGGAGAGUACCCGGAGAAAAAGCAUCGGCUAACUCCGUGCCAGCAGCCGCGGUAAUACGGAGGAUGCGAGCGUUAUCCGGAUUUAUUGGGUUUAAAGGGUGCGUAGGCGGGCAUUUAAGCAGGCGGUAAAAUGUCGGGGCUCAACCCCGGCCUGCCGUCGGAACUGGGUGCCUUGAGUGGGCGAGAAGUAUGCGGAAUGCGUGGUGUAGCGGUGAAAUGCAUAGAUAUCACGAAGAACCCCGAUUGCGAAGGCAGCUUACGAAACUGUGACUGACAUUGAUGCUCGAAAGUGUGGGUAUCAAACAGGAUUAGAUACCCCAGUAGUC
rnacentral:rRNA from 1 species